UUCAAAAUGCCAUUCUCUGUUGCACAUUAUAAAAAUGAAACAACAAUAGAAAGCUUUCACUUCUACCUUGGUUCAAAUUUCCCUUUUCCUUAAAUCUUAAACAUAAGGCAGUUCUUGCAAUGGCAGUUGAAAGAUGACACUGGAGCUGUCAUCUAGGGGCCAGCUGCUGAUGAACUCACAUACCAGGACAAGGAGUUUAAAAUUCACCUUGAUGAUAAUGGGCAGUUUAUAAGCAAUUUAUCUGCAAAUUCAUGCAUCUCUGUGUUAUGGUUAAUCUGCAGUCUUUGGAGUUAGACCUCCUGGAUUUGAAUUCUGGCUCUGAGACUUGCUAGGUCUAGGACAAGGGUGCUGUAGAAGCACAUAGGAGGGCCCUCUGAAUCAUUUUAGGGAACAUGGGAACAGGGAAAGAUCAGACAGGGUAGUUCAGGGAAUGCUACCCAGAGAAAAAUAUUCUAAGCAGAAUUGCAAAGGAAGACUUGGCAGAAGCCUGAAUAUGCAAACAAAGAGGUCGAAAGCUGUGUAAAGUUUUCAAAAAUGAGAUAGGGACAGAGGGUAGGAGGAAGAGAAGAGACAUCUGUCAUUGUGGUAACUGCAGACAGAUGUUUAAGCUAAAAUUUAAGUAGUUACUAACUCCCAGUACCUAAGAAUGUAACUAUAUUAAAAGAGCCUUUAAAGAGGUGAUUAAGUAAAAAGGAAGCUAUUAGGGUGA
rnacentral:lncRNA from 10 species